rnacentral:rRNA from 1 species
UUUAUGGAGAGUUUGAUCCUGGCUCAGGAUGAACGCUGGUGGCGUGCCUAAUACAUGCAAGUCGAGCGAACGGACGAGAAGCUUGCUUCUCUGAUGUUAGCGGCGGACGGGUGAGUAACACGUGGAUAACCUACCUAUAAGACUGGGAUAACUUCGGGAAACCGGAGCUAAUACCGGAUAAUAUUUUGAACCGCAUGGUUCAAAAGUAAAAGACGGUCUUGCUGUCACUUAUAGAUGGAUCCGCGCUGCAUUAGCUAGUUGGUAAGGUAACGGCUUACCAAGGCAACGAUGCAUAGCCGACCUGAGAGGGUGAUCGGCCACACUGGAACUGAGACACGGUCCAGACUCCUACGGGAGGCAGCAGUAGGGAAUCUUCCGCAAUGGGCGAAAGCCUGACGGAGCAACGCCGCGUGAGUGAUGAAGGUCUUCGGAUCGUAAAACUCUGUUAUUAGGGAAGAACAUAUGUGUAAGUAACUGUGCACAUCUUGACGGUACCUAAUCAGAAAGCCACGGCUAACUACGUGCCAGCAGCCGCGGUAAUACGUAGGUGGCAAGCGUUAUCCGGAAUUAUUGGGCGUAAAGCGCGCGUAGGCGGUUUUUUAAGUCUGAUGUGAAAGCCCACGGCUCAACCGUGGAGGGUCAUUGGAAACUGGAAAACUUGAGUGCAGAAGAGGAAAGUGGAAUUCCAUGUGUAGCGGUGAAAUGCGCAGAGAUAUGGAGGAACACCAGUGGCGAAGGCGACUUUCUGGUCUGUAACUGACGCUGAUGUGCGAAAGCGUGGGGAUCAAACAGGAUUAGAUACCCUGGUAGUCCACGCCGUAAACGAUGAGUGCUAAGUGUUAGGGGGUUUCCGCCCCUUAGUGCUGCAGCUAACGCAUUAAGCACUCCGCCUGGGGAGUACGACCGCAAGGUUGAAACUCAAAGGAAUUGACGGGGACCCGCACAAGCGGUGGAGCAUGUGGUUUAAUUCGAAGCAACGCGAAGAACCUUACCAAAUCUUGACAUCCUU